GGGAUUAGUCACCAUAGGCCUACCGGAACCAUUUCCGACAACACGCUGAGAGGGAUUAGUCACCACAGGCCUACUAGAACCAUUUCCGACAACACGCUGAGAGGGAUUAGUUACCACAGGCCUACUAGAACCAUUUCCGACAACACGCUGAGAGGGAUUGGUUACCACAGGCCUACUAGAACCGUUUCCGACAACACGCUGAGAGGGAUUAGUCACCGCAGGCCUACUAGAACCAUUUCCGACAACACGCUGAGAGGGAUUAGUCACCAUAGGCUUGCUGGAACCAUUUCCGACAAAACGCUGAGAGGGAUUAGUCACCAUAGGCUUGCUGGAACCAUUUCCGACAACACGCUGAGAGGGAUUGGUCCCCAUAG
rnacentral:lncRNA from 1 species